rnacentral:rRNA from 1 species
GACGAACGCUGGCGGCGUGCUUAACACAUGCAAGUCGAACGGAAAGGCCCUGCUUUUGUGGGGUGCUCGAGUGGCGAACGGGUGAGUAACACGUGAGUAACCUGCCCUUGACUUUGGGAUAACUUCAGGAAACUGGGGCUAAUACCGGAUAGGAGCUCCCGCUGCAUGGUGGGGGUUGGAAAGUUUCGGCGGUUGGGGAUGGACUCGCGGCCUAUCAGCUUGUUGGUGGGGUAGUGGCUUACCAAGGCUUUGACGGGUAGCCGGCCUGAGAGGGUGACCGGCCACGUUGGGACUGAGAUACGGCACAGACUCCUACGGGAGGCAGCAGUGGGGAAUAUUGCACAAUGGGCGGAAGCCUGAUGCAGCAACGCCGCGUGCGGGGUGACGGCCUGCGGUUUGUAAACCGCAUUCGCCUGUGACGAGGCGUUAAUGACGGUAAUGGGUAAAGAAGCACCGGCUAACUACGUG